ACUACCUCCUUGGACUGCCACUUUGAUCUAAUUAUUUCAACAGUGUUUAGGAGUCUCUGAACUUUACGUUUGUGAGUUUAUCCGCAUCUUACUAUCCGGUAUUGGACCGGCCGGAUCUACUUUCCUUACCGCGACCGGAAGUCGCACUCGCACCGAAGCCUCUGCAAACACCAGGAACAAGACAGUAGCUGUGGCUUAUCUGUCUAUCUGAACUUGACAACUUUAAUACAUGAGAAAGGAUUGAAGGAAACAUGGUUACAUUAUUCAGGGGAGGAACAACACUGCUAAAAUCAGGAAAUCCUAGAAACAAACACAAUAUGUUUCCUCUUUCCUGGUGGGCUUUGGGAUCCCAAAAAGAAAAACAGCAGCUACUACAAGAAGCCUUCAUCAGGAAACAGUUAAACAGACACACCCUGAUUGCACCAGCGUCAUGAACUUUCCAUCAUCUUCAGAUGCUCUUUGUUCUUUUGACCUAAUGCAGUGAAUCUUGACGUUUUAGUGAUCACAGUAAAAAGUUCUCAAGCUUGGUUAAUUCACUUGGCAACUACCAGUUUAACUGAGAGUAUAAUUGGUUUUCUAGGAAGGAUGCAAUCAACCUUAAAGGGGCUAGGCCCCUAUUGUGUUUAUGUUUCAAUUACUUCACAGCGUGAGCUAGAAAGAAAUACUCUGGUGAUAAGAAAUAAUAAAAUAAACGUUACAUCACAA